rnacentral:miRNA from 1 species
AAAGCAUGUGGAAUGAAGAAAG